CCGAGCGGCGCAGCGCGGUCCCUGCGGCCCGGAUCCCGACGCGAAGACCGCGGCCCCGCACGAAGGCUCGCGAGGGGCGCGGAGUGGCCACUGCGGACGGGACCGAGCGGGGCGGGGAGCCGCGUGGCGAAGCAGCCCCGGAUCUGGGUCAGGUCCGGCGGCACCGGAGGAGAGCCUGCCCUCGGGCUGCAGCCGGAGACAGAGCAAGCGGUCACAGUUCAGGGGCAGGCUCUGGAGGAAGCAGAAAAGCUCGGGCGGUGUGGGGUGUGGACCGCAGACCUUGGACGCGCUUAGCAGGAGGGGUGGCGAGCUCCGGCCCACCCUCCGUCCCAACGGGUUCAGUGGGCUCGGAGAGCUCAGGCCCAGCUCCCCUGUCUACCGCGGCGGGGAGAGGUAGAGGACUGCGAAGUUGCAGUCCAUUCCCCGCUCGGUCAUGGCACCCACACCCUGCAGAGUGGCCUUCACCCGCGCUCACCCCAGGUCAGAAGCCUGCCCAUCAGCACACGCGGGUGCCUGCACACACAGGGAAUCUGCCCUCGAAAUGGGAGGCAGAGUUCUGCUCUGCGUCUCACCCCAGUGGACACCCACAGCCACCGAGACUGUACAGAGCAAGGAGCAAGUCCCUGUGUGCAUGUGUGCUUGUUUGUGCAUGGAUGUAAUUGUAUGUUUGAGAGCUCGGAACGUAACAUGUUCCUGAUCCUGUGAACACUGCUGCGCCUGACCCACUGUCAGUGGUUUGUGCGCAUGUCCCUGCACAUACAGGCCCUCCUAUUGCAUGGGUGUGCAGUCGUUAAUAUAAACCUACACAUGUGCAGUAUAAUCCUGCUUGUCGCCUCUCCGCUGAAUGGAAGGGCAUGUGGACACCUGUGAGUGUGCGUGACUGCAUGUUGCCAUGUCCUCUGUGGACCCGCCUGCUGUGAACCUCCUGUGACUGAGUGACUCCUGCAGCCAUGCAAGUUCAUAGCUGUGUGUGUACCUCCCUCCCUCUGGGCUCAGGAGACUGAGAACAGCCCUGUGUAGUGUGCCCUACACACUGGUCCCUCUUAUCUGGGGUGUGUUCCUCCUGCCCAGUCGUAGGGACUGGUCCCUUCUAGCCAUAAGGCCCCCCUCUUCUUGCUGAGCAAACAGGAGGCCCCAGAGGUAAACAGGUGGGCCCCACAGUGAGGGUGGACAGGGGCAGCCUGCCUGGAGCCUCCCGCUGCCCCGGCCCCCAAACCAGGAACAGGUACCCUUCUGCCAGCACCCGGCGGCCCUCCUCUGCCCCUCCUCUGUUCCACUCUGCCCGAUGACAGUGCUGACCUUUGCCUCUUGAGUAAACCCUCCAGAUUCCUGUUUUCCCUGUGGCUCUCUCCUGACUCCUCCCUUCCCUUCAAGGCCAGGUAGUUAAUAUUUGACCUGGAAGCUUUAGGAGGCAGCUCAGGCCACCUCCACUCCCAGCCCAGCUCAGAAAGCCCCUCAGAGUGAGGGCCCUGCCGCCUGCGCCCACCUCAUACCCAGUGGUUGGCUUGAGAGAGGGUCCGGGUUGGGGAGCAGUCUCAAGAUGGACUGGGGCGCUGGUCAAGAGCUCGGGGCCCAGCGUCCACUUGGGGCACACGGCUUAGGUCUCUUGGCUGCUCCUGGCCCUUACACAGUGCAUCGCACCCUCCCGCACAGACUUCGUCGUGCAGCUAGGGGGCACCCAGAGGCCCACCCGCCCAGGCUGCCACCCCAGGCCCGUGAGUGCCUGCUGUCAGGUAGGAAGAAGCACUGCUCAGUGGACUCUUAGCUGAAGGCUGCAGUACUGACUCACACAGGCAGGACAGAAACGUGCCCCCCCCCCCAAGAAUGCCGUGGAGAAGUGUCUAAUUAAAGAGAAAUUCCAGAGGGAGCUCUCAGGCCAAGGAAAAGAAAAACAAAGGGAAAACAGGACGGAAUUAACAAAGGCCCGUUAAAGGUCCCUGCCCAGGCCUUCCUGCAGCGGGCUGGCGGCAGGGCAGCUAGUGCUGGAGGCGCAGGCCUUGGCUCUGAGAACCCAAACUCGACCGACCAGAAGAGGCCCGUUACCUUGGGCUUGCCAAGUUCUACCACAGCCUCUCCCUCAGCGGAGCUGCACAGACUGAGUCAGACCUGGCAUGGGAUCUCUGUGCCUCUACCCUCGGUGCCUCUGAAAGUCUGGGUAAUCCCAUCAUCCUCCUCCCACACUUAGAUCAAAGCACUUUCUCUUUUUUCCUCUCCUUCAAGAAACAGCUGUCAGAGAACCAGGACUAGCCCUGCAGUCUGGAGCAGGGUGACCCCAUCAGGAACCUACAGGCCUCUAGGAGUCCUCAACUCCCUAUCAGCAUGGAGUUUGCACUUGAUGCGGAAAGGCGUGUGAUGGACCCUCUCUGACCCCUGAGCUGUGACCCCAUGGCCAUAGGGCUCUGUGGCUCCAUGUCCCCCCUUCCAGGACCCCUCCCCUGGCCCCAGAACUGCUUGACCCCUGUGGCCUCAUGACCCCUGUCCUUCCUCGCCACCUUGCUGGACUCUGACCCCAGGGACUGUUUUUCCCAUCCCUCCUGUGCCUCUGGUCCUGGCUCCCGGUGGGGGGCUUGCGGGUCUGGACCUCCCCAGGAAGAUGUGGGGGAGGCUCUGGCCCCCUCCUCCUAGGCUUCUUCGCUGCAGCAGCCCCUGGGCCCUCCCUGCGGAGACCGUCCCCGCGAGCUGGACGCCACCCCACGGAUGACCAUCCC
ensembl:lncRNA